UACAGAGGUCUCAAGCGUUGUUCGGAUUCAUUGGGCGUAAAGGGUGCGUAGGUGGCGGGGUAAGUCAGGUGUGAAAUCUCGGAGCUUAACUCCGAAACUGCAUUCGAUACUGCCGUGCUUGAGGACUGGAGAGGAGACUGGAAUUUACGGUGUAGCGGUGAAAUGCGUAGAUAUCGUAAGGAAGACCAGUGGCGAAGGCGGGUCUCUGGCCCGGUACUGACGCUGAGGCGCGAAAGCGUGGGGAGCAAACAGG
rnacentral:rRNA from 1 species